UACGUAGGGUGCAAGCGUUAAUCGGAAUACUGGGCGUAAAGCGUGCGCAGGCGGUGAUGUAAGACAGGUGUGAAAUCCCCGGGCUUAACCUGGGAACUGGCAUUUGUGACUGCAUCGCUGGAGUGCGGCAGAGGGGAUGGAAUUCCGGCGUGUAGCAGUGAAAUGCGUAGAUAUGCGGAGGAACACCGGAUGGCGAAGGCAGUGUCCGUGGGAAGUACCUGACGCUCGAGGUGCGAAAGCUAGGGAGCGAACAGG
rnacentral:rRNA from 1 species